CCCUUAGAUGUUCUGGGCUGCACGCGCGCUACACUGACAUGUCCAGCGAGCUCCCAACCUGCUCGGCAAAGAAUGGGUACCCUUUUUAACGCAUGUCGUGAUGGGGAUAGAUUAUUGCAAUUGUUGAUCUUGAACGAGGAAUUCCUAGUAAGUGCAAGUCAUUAGCUUGUGCUGAAUACGUCCCUGCCCUUUGUACACACCGCCCGUCGCUCCUACCGAUUGAGCGAUCCGGUGAAUGUUUUGGACUGGCGUCAGAAGCGGUUCGCUCCUGACACUACGAAAUUUUGUAAACCUUAUCGCUUAGAGGAAGGAAAAGUCGUAACA
rnacentral:rRNA from 1 species